rnacentral:lncRNA from 1 species
GGCCAUAUGCCGACAUUUAAUUGUAAACUGCUUAGUCAUAUUAGUGCUAUAUUAUUUGGUCUCAGUCCGGUGGAGAGUUGUCUCGUUAGCAAUCAUACCAUUACUCAAAUAUUACUCGGACCCCCAAACGGCUGUUUUGCAAGACAAGCUAGGCCCAUGAGCGUAGGAAGUCAAGACUCAGAGUAAUCUCGGACGGGCACAAGUUAACUGGUUUUAGACCCUUGCAAAAAAAAAGGCAAUCAACACAUUCAAUUUUCUAGACCGAAAAUCAAUCUGAAAUU